GACAGAGGUGCCAAGCGUUAGGCGGAAUCACUGGGCGUAAAGCGCACGUAGGCGGAUUGUUAAGUCAGGGGUGAAAUCCUGGAGCUCAACUCCAGAACUGCCUUUGAUACUGACGGUCUUGAGUUCGGGAGAGGUGAGUGGAACUGCGAGUGUAGAGGUGAAAUUCGUAGAUAUUCGCAAGAACACCAGUGGCGAAGGCGGCUCACUGGCCCGAUACUGACGCUGAGGUGCGAAAGCGUGGGGAGCAAACAGG
rnacentral:rRNA from 1 species